UGAGAUUUCUUAAUCUUGCUGAUUCCCCAA
rnacentral:piRNA from 1 species